rnacentral:rRNA from 1 species
CGGGGGAUAUUGCACAAUGGGCGAAAGCCUGAUGCAGCGACGCCGCGUGGGGGAUGAAGGCUUUCGGGUUGUAAACCUCUUUCGCUAUCGAACAAGGCCCGCUUAGGGUGGGUUGAGGGUAGGUGGAGAAGAAGCGCCGGCUAACUACGUGCCAGCAGCCGCGGUAAUACGUAGGGCGCGAGCGUUGUCCGGAAUUAUUGGGCGUAAAGGGCUUGUAGGCGGCUUGUUGCGCCUGCUGUGAAAACGCGGGGCUUAACUUCGCGCGUGCAGUGGGUACGGGCAGGCUUGAGUGUGGUAGGGGUGACUGGAAUUCCAGGUGUAGCGGUGGAAUGCGCAGAUAUCUGGAGGAACACCGAUGGCGAAGGCAGGUCACUGGGCCAUUACUGACGCUGAGGAGCGAAAGCAUGGGUAGCGAACAGG